GGUUUGUAGCUCAGUGGGAGAGCACAUGCCUAACAUGUGUGAGGCACUAGGUUCAAUUCUCAGCACUG
rnacentral:tRNA from 1 species